rnacentral:lncRNA from 1 species
GAAUAACUACCGUGCCUGAAAUUGCUAAUGCAAAAAGGGCUGAACUGGCACGUCAAGGGCACUAGAGAGAGAGGAACAAAUUAGACUCCCUGGGGCUGAAUAAUGUUACACACUGGUGAUCUCUCUAAUAUGCACACGAUCAUUUUGGAAUCCUUAAAUCAGGCCCUGAAAGAGUUACUGCACCACAGCCUUCACAAACACCGCCUAAUCUGAGCUGGUGAUACUCUGCUUUCUCUGAUGAGUGUGGACAGAGAUACUAGUCACAAAUCAUGUUAUUACAAUUUAUUUUAGAUCCCUUCAAAAAGGCCUGUUUCAGGGAAUGCUUUUGAAGUUUGUUUCCUACAACCAUUUCAGGUAAGAAGCUCCGGAAUGAUCAAUAUGGAUAAGAUUUGUUUUCUAAAGAAACAUAGAAUAACAUCCUACAGCUUCAAGACACAAUUCAGCCUCCAUUAUGCGUUUGAACAUUCAUUGACCUAACUGUGUGUGUCAAGAGCUUUCAAAAACUGACUUGGAGAAACAAUUCAAGGCAGUAAUAUUCCUGUAAGAAACUUCUGCCUUCAGCAUGUCCCCUGGGUCAUUCUCAGAAAGAAAAAUCUACAUAAGGUCAAUAAAACCAUUGACGUGGAUUCACAUUCAAGGGCAUUUUCAGCCUGGUUUCUUAAAUAAGGAAGAUGUGACUGCGUUCUGUGCCUGUGUUAGCAGGCGUGCACACACCUGCCUGUCUCUUCAGUCCCAUCCACCCGUUCCUGAACCCACCGGGCACUUCCAGCCACGCUGACACCCAGCAUUGCAGGUCGCGCUUCCCAGCAAACCACGGCCUGCCCAGAGCACCCUGCCACGAGGGCCGGGGCCUUUUUGUGUGGAAACAGAGCCGGCAGAAGGACCAGGGCCCUUCCAUGGGGGUCUGUGUGUUUUUGGGGGCGUUUUUGGGGGUGCUUGUGGGGGACACGCUUAAGGGGAAGGGGCCGCGGGAGGCGCGCAGCCCCCGCCUCAGCCCGCCGCCCCUCAGGGCGAUCUCGCGAGAGCCGCCCCGCGUAGACGCGAUGUCCUUUGGGGCACUGACGGGGGGGAGGGCGGGGGGAGGGCAGCAAAGAGAGGGGCGGUUUGAUUGACGGCGAGACGAACCAGUGAGAAAAGGGCACGGCGAGCCCCGAGCCAAUAGUUUCUCCCCGGAGCGAGCGGCGAGCCAAUGGGGGGGCCGGGGGGGCGGGGCGCGCCGCUGGCUGAUUGAUCCCAGCUUUGGCGUUGUUCAGUCAGAGCGAGAACAUUCUAGAGGUGAGUACGGGGCAGCCAUUGCCGGGGUCCCGUCAGCCGCCCCCUCCUGCCUGAGCUGCGCGCCGCCGGCCGCCGCAGCUCCCUCCCCCCUUCCCUCUUCUCCCCCCUCCUCCUUCUCCUCUUCCUCCUCCUCCCCCCCUCUCCUCACAGGUGCCGCCGCUAACGAUGCCCC